UGCGUAGGUGGUGGGGUAAGUCGGAUGUGAAAGCUCGGAGCUCAACUCCGAAAUGGCAUUGGAAACUACCCUGCUAGAGGAUUGGAGGGGGGACUGGAAUACUUGGUGUAGCAGUGAAAUGCGUAGAUAUCAAGUGGAACACCAGUGGCGAAGGCGAGUCCCUGGACAAUACCUGACACUGAGGCACGAAAGCUAGGGGAGCAAACAGGAUUAGAUACCCUGGUAGUCCUAGCCGUAAACGGUGCACGUUUGCUGUAAAAGGAAUCGACCCCUUUUGUGGCGUAGCUAACGCGUUAAACGUGCCGCCUGGGAAGUACGGUCGCAAGAUUAAA
rnacentral:rRNA from 1 species